rnacentral:rRNA from 1 species
AUUGAACGCUGGCGGCAGGCCUAACACAUGCAAGUCGGACGAGUGGCGGACGGGUGAGUAAUGUCUGGGAAUCUGCCUGAUGGAGGGGGAUAACUACUGGAAACGGUAGCUAAUACCGCAUACCAUCAGAUGUACCCAUAUGGGAUUAGCUUGUUGGUGGGGUAACGGCUCACCAAGGCGACGAUCCCUAGCUGGUCUGAGAGGAUGAUCAGCAACACUGGAACUGAGAAACGGUCCAGACUCCUACGGGAGGCAGCAGUGGGGAAGAGUGCACAAUGGGCGCAAGCCUGAUGCAGCCAUGCCGCGUGUAUGAAGAAGGCCUUCGGGUUGUAAAGUACUUUCAGCAGGGAGGCGUUACCCACAGAAGAAGCACCGGCUAACUCCGUGCCAGCAGCCGCGGUAAUUC